GCGGGAGCCGCGGUUGCUGGGAGCGCGCUUGGGCCGUGCCGCCCUGUGGUGGAGAGGGAAGAGUGGACCCCGGCUGAAAGAGGAAGGACUCCUCUGCGGGCUUUCGGGCCAUGACCCCGUGGGAAACAGAAAGAACCCACGUGCAAAGCAACACAAGAGCUUGGAAGAAUCUACCUCCACAUAAGAUCAGGGUCCUUGGACUGAGGAGAAGACAACGGGAGUAUUCAGAAGUCUGCGUUGUCCAGGCCCUGUGAUGUGCCCCUAGAACUGGACCAGGCCUUCUGGACAGGAGUUAGAAAUGGAGACGAGAGGAAUCCCCUGA